rnacentral:rRNA from 1 species
UACGGUGGGGGCAAGCGUUGUUCGGAAUUACUGGGCGUAAAGGGUUUGUAGGUGGCUUGUUAAGUCAGACGUGAAAUCCCUCAGCUUAACUGAGGAACUGCGUCUGAGACUGGUGAGCUUGAGUGCAGGAGAGGAACGCGGAAUUCCAGGUGUAGCGGUGAAAUGCGCAGAUAUCAGGAGGAACACCCGUAGCGAAGGCGGCACUCUGGGCCGAUACUGACACUGAGGAGCGAAAGCGUGGGGAGCGAACAGG